AGCGAACGCUGGCGGCAGGCCUAACACAUGCAAGUCGAACGGAGUCUUCGGACUUAGUGGCGGACGGGUGAGUAACACGUGGGAACGUGCCUUUAGGUUCGGAAUAACUCAGGGAAACUUGUGCUAAUACCGAAUGUGCCCUUCGGGGGAAAGAUUUAUCGCCUUUAGAGCGGCCCGCGUCUGAUUAGCUAGUUGGUGAGGUAAAGGCUCACCAAGGCGACGAUCAGUAGCUGGUCUGAGAGGAUGAUCAGCCACAUUGGGACUGAGACACGGCCCAAACUCCUACGGGAGGCAGCAGUGGGGAAUCUUGCGCAAUGGGCGAAAGCCUGACGCAGCCAUGCCGCGUGAAUGAUGAAGGUCUUAGGAUUGUAAAGCUCUUUCACCGGAGAAGAUAAUGACGGUAUCCGGAGAAGAAGCCCCGGCUAACUUCGUGCCAGCCGCCGCCGUAACAC
rnacentral:rRNA from 1 species